UGUUAAUUGAGUCUGAAUAGCAAUAGCUUGAAUGACCGGGAAAUGGUCAAGCUGACAUGUAAUCGACGUGGUCGAUUGAUCAUUGCUUUGAUUUGAUGUUGUGAAUUGAUUGACUGAUUGAAAAGGACCGUGAGUGGUCUUAUUGGCUUGUAAUCGCCUAGGUCGAUUUGAUCGAUGCUUCGAUCGGUGAUAUGAUUGCUUGUGUGCCUAUUAUGAAUUGUACUGACUUGCAGG
rnacentral:lncRNA from 1 species